UAGAAAUACAGCACUGGUACGGGUACGGAUCCGACGCCUCUCGUAGGAUACUUAGGCUCUCCGUACCCUACUCCUACUCAAAACGUCCCCGUACAGAACGGUAACAUGUCUUUCCGCAUAUCUGAGCUUGGGUAUAGGGGGGAAAGGAGAAAN
rnacentral:ribozyme from 1 species